rnacentral:rRNA from 4 species
GAAUUGCAGAAUCCCGUGAACCAUCGAGUCUUUGAACGCAAGUUGCGCCUGAAGCCAUUAGGUUGAAGGCACGUCUGCCUGGGCGUCACGC